CUAAGGGCAGAAAGGAAAAUGAUUGGUUGACAGAUUCAACCAAUGAAAUUGAAGCAAAGGCGGGGUCAGGAAAUUUGGACGUGUGGAGGGAAUACUUCAGACAGAAACGUUAUUAGCGCUUCGUGGGAGGCAUUUGUUGCAAGUUACCUGGAGGAGUUGCAAAAUCUGGACAGAUCAAAGGAGCUAACACUGAAGAUCUGAUACUACUGAGUCCAAAAUGGUGCAAAAAUGGAGAUGUAUGAAAAAUGGUGUCACCAGAUGAUGGAUCAGCAGCUAGAGACGACUUCUACAUCCCUAAAUGUCCUAAAUGAGUCCUCUGCAAUCUGACUUUGCUGCAGCAUGGAACUUUUGCAUUAUU